UGCCACAGCGAUAUCACCCUGCAGCCCAGGACCAGUUAUUUACUGAAGCAACACAGGGCUGAGCCUGGUUAGUACCUGGAUGGGAGAUCACGUGGGAAAGCUAGGUUGAGAUUGGAA
ensembl:rRNA 5S_rRNA 5S ribosomal RNA